rnacentral:rRNA from 1 species
CAUGCAGUCGAGCGGACCGACGGGAGCUUGCUCCCUUAGGUCAGCGGCGGACGGGUGAGUAACACGUGGGUAACCUGCCUGUAAGACUGGGAUAACUCCGGGAAACCGGGGCUAAUACCGGAUGCUUGAUUGAACCGCAUGGUUCAAUUAUAAAAGGGGGGUUUUUGCUACCACUUACAGAUGGACCCCCGGCGCAUUAACUAGUUGGGGAGGGAACGGCUCACCAAGGGGACCAUGCGUAGCCCAACUGAGAGGGUGAUCGGCCACCCUGGGACUGAAACACGGCCCAAACUCCUACGGGAGGGAGCAGUAGGGAAUCUUCCGCAAUGGACGAAAGUCUGACGGAACAACCCCCCGUGAGUGAUGAAGGGUUUCGGAUCGUAAAACUCUGUUGUUAGGGAAAAACAAGUACCGUUCGAAUAGGGGGGGACCUUGACGGGACCUAACCAGAAAGCCACGGCUAACUACCUGCCAGCCGCCGCGGUAAUACCUAGGUGGCAAGCGUUGUCCGGAAUUAUUGGGCGUAAAGCGCGCGCAAGCCGUUUCCUAAGUCUGAUGUGAAAGCCCCCGGCUCACCGGGGAGGGUCAUGGAAACUGGGGACUUGAAUGCAGAAGAGAGAGUGGAAUUCCACGUGUAGCGUGAAAUGCGUAGAGAUGUGAGACACAGUGGCGAAGCGACUCUCUGUCUGUACUGACGCUGAGCCGAAGCUGGGGAGCGACAGAUAGAUACCCUGUAGUCACGCGUAACGAUGAUGCUAGUGUAAAGUUCGCUUAUGCUGCAGCACGUGGUAAUCGACAGCAACUGACUAUGCKAU